CGGACACGAAUGAGCGACUGAACUGUAACUGUGAGCAAGUCAGCCCAGCCAGCCGGGCUUGUGUAGCUGCUCCAUGGCAGCAAGGCUUUUCCAGGGUAGAUGCCUUUUAUGAGCUAAAAAGGCUUAUUCCCUGCGACCUCCACCCCAACUCUCCCCAUCCCUAUCUUGUGCCACACCCAAAAACCUACACUAUGGGGAGACUUUUCUGGCGGUCCAGUGGUUAAGACUCUGCUCCCAAUACUGGGGCUCAGCGUCCAUUCUUGCUGGGAUAAAUAAGAUCCCACAUGUCCUGUGGACUUCCCCCCCCUCCGCCCCCCGCCACUCAGUCAAGAAGAAAAACAAGGGUUGGGUAUGGAGUGAGGGUUUGGGGAGAGGGUAGGAGAGAGAGAUUCUAGUGACUAGGGAAAAUAAGGGAUCCGCAGGCAAGUGAAGAAGCAUUUACAGGGAAGACUUUGGUAGAGCCUCAAANNNNNNNNNNNNNNNNNNNNNNNNNNNNNNNNNNNNNNNNNNNNNNNNNNNNNNNNNNNNNNNNNNNNNNNNNNNNNNNNNNNNNNNNNNNNNNNNNNNCAAGUGAAGAAGCAUUUACAGGGAAGACUUUGGUAGAGCCUCAAAGCUCCAAAGGUGUAGAGUGCAAUCGGCUUCCCAUGUCAGAGCUGGGAGGAACCUAGCUAUCCAGGUGAACAGGGGCCCCAUCCUUACAGCCCACACGGAUGGGCCUGAUGGAGUCCUUCUUUUGGUAGUGGCAGUAGGGGGGCCGGGUUCCUGCCUUGGCAACGCAGUCUGUGACGCUGACGUCGUGAGAGCUGUUGUGGCAGCUCUGCAGGGAGCCGUUGCUGGUACAGGGCACAGCUGGAGUUGUGCAGAAAUCUGCUAUGGUAGCCAGAUCCUCGUGAAUGAAGGUGUUGAUCUGCUUGCAUCUACCCCUGUGGAUCAGCCACCGUCGCCUCAUCAUCACAUCACAGUAUCGGUGCUGUCCCCCAGGAACCCAUGACCUGGGGUUAUCUAUGUGCCGUCUUGAGAAGGGCAGGCCUGGAGCGAAGACAGCUAGCUCCAGCAGGAGGAGGAGAAGGGUCCACAUCAGAUUCCUGUUCCCUGUGAAAGCAGGUCAGGGAAGGGUGGGGUCAAGGAGCAGGCUAUGGUCCCUUUCCCUCAAGAUAACUAUUUCUAAGAACUCUUGGCCCAAACACUUAAUGUUCCUGAUGGCCCUGUUGUUUUAUAGUCACUAAGUGUUCAACUCUUUUGUAACCCCCAUGGACUAUAUAGCCCUCCAGGUUCCUCUUUUUGGGAUUGUCCAGGCAAGAAUACUGGAGUGGAUUGCCAGGGGAACCUUCACAACCCAGGGACCAAACCUGCAUCUCUUGCAUUGUAGACAGGCCCCUGGCUAUGCUUACUCUUGUACUCACAGAAACUACUGUUCUCACAUCCCCUUUCCACUUCACUGCUGCCCCCCCAUCCCCCCUUCUUUUCUCUGAGAAAGUGAUGAGGAGAGACGAGAAGGACUUGCCAAGAAAGAAGGUGCCUUUCACCCACUCACCCCUUAAUGGGUCUAACUCUCCAGUGAUUUUUCUCCUUACUCAAGUAUUUAACCUAAAGACAUAUAUUUCUGAAGUGUUUGCAUAUAUCAGCCUCCUGAUUCCACAGCCUAUGAAUGAAGCAGGUGUCUCUGCCAAACCUUCCCUCCAGUGGGUGAGCUUAAAGGGUAAUUGACAAUCCAUAUGCCUUGCAUCUUAGAAAAUAUUUCUACUUUCUUAAAUUACUUAUGACUGUUUUAAAUUUUGUUUAAAAGAAAGUGGGUGUAUUCAGUUCUGAGAGUGAACUUCAUAUUUCCCUCUCAAAGUCCUCUGCCUCAUGGAAGCAGAAUACUCUGGCUUCUCUAUGUAUAAGCAGUAACGACUGGGUGUCAGGUUCCUGUUUCUGUGUCUAAUACGCCGAUUCCUUUCUUGAAUACCUGAGGGUCUCAAGGCAGGGCUUUUGCAGAGCAGAUGACAUCCAUGGAGACAGAUAUGUCCCUCUCAGCAGUGGAUAUUCCCAGCAGAAAUGGAACCUUCAUUGCCUUCCCUCCCUUCCUCUAAUCCUAUAGGAAUUAUAUUAUGGACAUUUUCUUCCCACACUGUAAGGGGAGGGCCAUUUAGAAAACUCUCAGGUCUGUCAAUGAUCUUAAACAGACUGCCUCAUAGGACUCAUUUCAUGUUUACUAUUUCACACCCAGAAUCUUUAUCAGCAUCACACAGAGUACCUAUGACAUCACUACAAAUAUGAAGAAAGAAACCUGUACUUUGGCGCCGGUCUUUCACAAACUUGCUCUUGGAGGCGGGCCAAUCACCUCAUCCUACUCAUCUCUAAAGUGAAGAUUAUAGACUAGAGAUCUCUUUUAGUUCAGUCAUUUUCUGUCUUUCAAGCCCUAAUAAAGCAUUGCUUGUGUGUAUGAGUCAAUGUGUGAUUUUCUCUGUGUACCCUAUUGGCUUAUACAUGUUCAGGUAGGGAGAAAUGUUUUGUUUGAAAAUUGAGUUUCCCUUUGUGAUUUGUUAAUCCAAUUAAAUCUAAUUUUUCUGAGAAACAGUUGUUAGUGAAUUUAGGCAAAAAAAAAAAUUCAAUCACUUUUAUGUAAAGAUUAUAUUGUUUUUG
rnacentral:lncRNA from 1 species